GGGCCUGAUUUGGUUUCGACUUUGGCACUCGUGCCGGGAGAAGCGAGCCGUGGUUGUCGGAGUCCACGUUAAAGAGCCGGCACAAAAAUCAAAUGCCAACGACAACGUUGCAUUGCUCGCUGCCUAAUUAGGUAGCAGCCGUUCGUCCGGCCCCAGCCCUGCGGGUCGGUAGCGAACGUCAUCUAGUGGGGCUUACUCCUCGACUGCGUCAGCGGGUCGAGAAGGACAACUCAGCUGACUGGGGUCUCGCCCUGGCGCCGGUGACGGCGGCGGGACCCGAGACGAACUCACCGGCUGCGCUCGGAGAAGACCCGGUAUGACGUUAAAGGACGCGGGUUCGAUCCCCGCCAGGUCCAA
rnacentral:tmRNA from 1 species